CAUGGCGGCCAUAUUGUGGGCGGCCAUGCGGCUUCGGGGAGGCCGCCGGGGGCAGGAUGUGGGGUGGCUGGGGUGCGAUGUAAUAUCCUGUGGUGCACGUCCGGUCCCCAGAGAAGGGGACCCUCCGCCCUCCACCCCAGGCCACCUUCCUGCGCUGAGACAAGUCGCCUUCUCAUGGACCAUCCCACUUCAUCAGCACAGCAACCUCGGGAUGGGAGUGACGGCCCAUCUUUCGGAGGUGGAGACUGAGGCUCCACAGAAUGUGUCUGAGAUGUGAGUGUCAGGAAGCCAGUCAGUACUGGAGAGCCUGCCCUCAGGGAACACAGUCUCUGUCUCCUCCUGACAGCUCCGCAAGGCAGGCUGGGAUGAGCUGAAGUCGCUAUUUUUCCGAUGAGGAAACUGAGACACAGAGAGGUUGCCCAGUCAGGACUUGGGGCUCACCCAGGUGAUUCUAGCCCUGGUCAUCUCUCUCCAGGGCUGCAACCCACCCACCCCUUGAGAGGCCUGGAGGCUUGAGGGGGAUCCCGGCAGCCCUGGUCCUCUUGUCUGGAAUCACAGAAGCCAAAACCCUGGGGAGAUUGUGCUCAGAUGCUCCAUUCAACAAUUCUUCCAUUUCACGCUGUCCCAGCAUUUAUAGUGACAUGAAACAGAGCAAAGUGACUCCGCAUGGAGCAUGCGUACGGUGCCAGCAGCGCGCCCUCAGACGUAACCUCGGGGCUGGGCUGGGGCCUCUGGGUCAUGGUGAGACUGGUAAAAUCAGUUGACUUGGUGAUGGAUGGGGUUAUGACGGAGGCCCCCAGGUUUGCCCUCCAGAAACCACAAUCCAGGAGGAGAGACAAAUCAGUAAAGAGCCAGCAUGCUGGAGACAGCCGGCCUGGGAACUCAUCACCAGGCUGGAAGGUUGGUGACGGAAGGCUUCCUGGAGAAAGUGACCGUGCAUGGAGUCUCAACAGAUGAAUAAAAGUUCACCAGGCAACGAAAUUGAGGGAGAAGGUGGGAAAGGAGCUGGUGUUGGGGGACAUUUUUAUUUUAUCAUCUACCGAGGGACACAGAGGCC